rnacentral:rRNA from 1 species
GUCUGUAGCCAUACCACCCUGAACGUGCCCGAUCUCAUCUGAUCUUGGAAGCUAAGCAUGGUCGGCCCUGGUUAGUACUUGGAUGGGAGAUUUAAUGCAAUCUCUAUCAAACUACCACCA